rnacentral:rRNA from 1 species
UGCGGCCAAGCUAGUAAGGGCGUGUGGGGGAUGUCUUGGCACCAGAAGGCGAAAGGGCGUGGAAGACUGCGAAAAGUCCGGGGGAGCUGUCAAACGAGCUUUGAUCCCGGAAUACCCGAGCGAACCCAGGGAACUGAAACAUCUCAUUACCUGGAGGAAGAGAAAGAAACCUCGAUUCCGUUAGUAGCGGCGAGCGAAGGCGGAAGAGCCCAAACCGCGGGGGUAACCUCGUGGGGUUGUAGGACCACAUUUAGGAUCCCGGACCCCUAGCAGAAGUGGCUGGAAUGUCACGCCGCAGAGGGUGAAAGUCCCGUACGCGACAGGGUGAAGGGCCGAGUGGUAUCCUGAGUAGGACUCAACACGUGAAAGUGAGUCCGAAUCGGCGGGGUCCAUCCCGCAAGGCUAAAUACUCUCUGGUGACCGAUAGCGAACGAGUAGCGCGAGCGAAAGAUGGGAAGAACCCCGACAAGGGGAGGACACUGAACCUGAAACCACAUGCCUACAAGCGGUGGGAGCCCUAUGCCCGCAAGGGAACGGGUGACCGCGUGCCUUUUGCAUAAUGAUCCGGCGACUUACCGUAACCAGCCAGGUUAAGGGCCUCUGGUCCGAAGCCGAAGCGAAAGCGAGUCUUAAACGGGCGUCAAGUUGGGUGCGGUAGACGCGAAACCACGUGACCUACGCAUGGCCAGGAUGAAGUGGGAGUAACAUCUCAUGGAAGACCGAACUCAUUUGGGUUGAAAACCGAUGGGAUGAGCUGUGUGGGGGAGUGAAAGUCUAAUCAAACGUGGAGAUAGCUCGUUCUCUCCGAAAUAACUUUAGGGUUAGCGUUCGGAUAGUUGGCGCUGGGGGUAGAGCGACUGAUUUCGAACGGGGGCCUACCCGGCUACCCGUCGAAGCCAAACUCCGAAUACCAGCGUUCAAGUCCGGGCAGCUAGACGGUGGGGGAUAAGCUUCAUCGUCGAGAGGGGAACAACCCAGAUCACCCGCUAAGGUCCCAGAGUCGUGCUCAGUGCGAAAGGAAGUUGGAUUCCCGAGACAGCCAGGAUGUUGGCUUAGAAGCAGCCACCAUUUAAACAACGCGUAAUAGCGGACUGGUCGAGGAGUCCUGCGCCGAUAAUGAACGGGACUCAAGCACGACACCGAAGCGGUGGGUAGCAGCAAUGCUACGGUAGGAGAGCGUUGCGUGUGCGGCGAAGGGGUACGGGCAACGAGCCCUGGAGCGCACGCAAGUGAUUAUGCCGGAAUGAGUAGACGAUAAAACGGGUGAGAAUCCCGUUCGCCGUAAGCCUAAGGGUUCCUGGGGAAGGUAAAUCCGCCCAGGGUUAGCCGGUGCCUAACGUGAGGCCGAAAGGUGUAGCGGAUGGGGAGCAGGUUAAUAUUCCUGCGCUCCCGGCACAACACGGGACGUCGGUUCGAGGUGGUGUAGGCUGAAUAGAUUGCCUCAGGGCGUUUAAGAUCCCGAUAUCCACCGACGGCCGACCGAGAAAACCGUGCCGGAAACCGUACUAAAACCGACACAGGUAGGCGAGAUGAAUAUUCUAAGGCGCUCGAGAGAACUCUCGUGAAGGAACUCUGCAAGCUAAAUCCGUAACUUCGGGAAAAGGAUUGCCCACGCGAGUGGGUCGCAGUGAAAAGGUUCUGGCGACUGUUUACUAAAAACACAGGUCUGUGCGAAGGCGUAAGCCGCGGUAUACAGACUGACGCCUGCCCGGUGCUGGUAAGUUAAGGGAGAGGGUUAGCCGUAAGGUGAAGCUCGCAACCGAAGCUCCAGUAAACGGCGGCCGUAACUAUGACGGUCCUAAGGUAGCGAAGUUCCUUGUCGGGUAAGUUCCGACCUGCAUGAAUGGCGUAACGACCGGAACACUGUCUCCACGAGAGACUCGGUGAAAUUGUAGUUGUCGUGAAGAUGCGACAUACCCGCAGCUAGACGGAAAGACCCCGUGAACCUUAACUGCAGCUUGGUAUUGGGUUUAGACCCAGCAUGCGUAGUGUAGGUGGGAGGCUAUGAACCGCGUAUUUCGGUACGCGGGGAGCCGACGAUGAAACACCACCCUUGCUGUGUUUGAAUUCUAACUUGUUGUCUGUAGCAACAGGGACCGUGCUAAGUGGGCAGUUUGAUUGGGGCGAUCUCCUCCCAAAAGGUAACAUGACAUGUUGCCCUCCUCACUGGCGACAGUGGGCGAGCAAUUCGGCUAUAUGCUGGAACAUCCGAGCAUCCCGGGCUACGAGGCGCCUUCACCGGUGCCCGUGAAAAUGCCCGAGUGCGGACGAUCAGCAGGAAAGGCCGGGAACACGAGUUCCCGGAAUCCUCAGAGACUGCACGCCGAACGUCUGACGCGCGAAGUGGUCAGAUGAUGAUACAGUCCGUGCUCGGCGGCGACGUCGAGAGGCCGGCAGAAAUGCCCGGCCCCCUGGAACCAGCCCGGAGCGGUGUGAACCGGUCCGGGUCGCGUAAGCGACCAGGCGUAACAAUCAGAACGGAGGAGUGCAAAGGUACCCUCAGCCCGGUUGGCAAUCGGGCAUCGAGCGUAAAGGUAUAAGGGUGCUUGACUGCGAGUCCGAUGGGACGAGCAGGGACGAAAGUCGGCCUUAGUGAUCCGGUGGUUCCGGAUGGAAGGGCCAUCGCUCAACAGAUAAAAGGUACUCCGGGGAUAACAGGCUUAUCUCCUCUGAGCGUUCAUAGCGGCGAGGAGGUUUGGCACCUCGAUGUCGGCUCAUCACAUCCUGGGGGUGGAGAAGCUCCCAAGGGUUCGGCUGUUCGCCGAUGAAAGUGGUACGUGAGCUGGGUUUAGACCGUCGUGAGACAGGUCGGUCCCUAUCUGCUGUGGGCGGAGGAAACUUGCGGGGCUUUCUCCCUAGUACGAGAGGACUGGGAGGGACACACCUCUGAUGUUCCAGUUGUGGCGCUAGCCGCACCGCUGGGUAGUCACGUGUGGACGGGAUAAACGCUGAAGGCAUAUAAGCGUGAAACUUCCCCCUAGAUCAGGUUUCCUGCGUAAGCGAAGGCUCCUGGUAGACGACCAGGUCGAUAGGCCGGGCGUGUAAGUGCAGUAAUGCACUCAGCUAACCGGUACUAACAGCCGAACGUUUGGCCGCAUUG